GCCACGGUGGUCUAGCGGUUAGAACACUGGCCUUGUAAUCCUGGGGUCUCGGGCUUGAUUCCCGGCGGUGCCC
rnacentral:tRNA from 1 species